AAAAAAGCAGUGGCCUGUUGCCCUUGUCAACAGGUCACUUGUAAACUUCUGGGGAAUCACUUGUAUUGUUAUUGGGUGAACCUAUGUUUGAUUCUGGUGAUUAAAGGUUCAGUAAAUGAUGCCAAAUCG